UUCAUUGCAUAUCUAGAAUUAUUAUUAUUUUCCAAAGAAGGUGUUGCAAAUAAGGAACCAUUCCUUAGGGGUGGAAUGGACCUUGAUUAUCUGUAACGCUUGAUAUCGCUUAUCAUACCUAAGUAAAGAUACAUUACGUAGACGACUAUAUUUAACUACCGGUCAUGUUCUGUAUGUAGGCAAAAUACUAUCUUUCGUUCUUGCUAUGCUAUUGAAUGUGUCUGUGUUAUUUGCGGUCUGGUCUGUCGUCCGUACCUGUGAUGACGUCAACACCGUGGCCUGUGGUCAGCUUGACCGAGUUAUGAACGUCUGUACUGAUCCGUGUUUCUCAAAUCUGUGUCAACGGUACUGUGGAAAAUGUCCUUUGAAAUGUUACCAUUGUAUGUCGACAAAUAUAACUGACUGUACAGAUAUAAUAGAAUGUCCAAAUAUGGAACACGCAUGCGUAAAUGAAAAAUACCUGACAAACAAUUUUACAUUUGGUUAUAAAGGUGGAUGUGUCCAUAAUCAGG